rnacentral:rRNA from 1 species
AGAAUUUGAUCUUGGUUCAGAUUGAAUGCUGACGGCGUGGAUGAGGCAUGCAAGUCGAACGAAGUUGAGCUUGCUCAACUUAGUGGCGGAAGGGUUAGUAAUACAUGGAUAACCUACCUUUUACCUGGGGAUAACGGUUGGAAACGACCGCUAAUACCGAAUGUUGCUUUAAUAAGAUAACUUGUUUUAGUAAAAGUAGGCUUUUGCUGGCGGUAGAAGAGGGGUUCAUGGGAUAUCAGCUUGUUGGUGUGGUAAAAGCGCACCAAGGCUAAGACGUCUAGGCGGAUUGAGAGAUUGACCGCCAACACUGGGACUGAGACACUGCCCAGACUCUUACGGGAGGCUGCAGUCGAGAAUCAUUCGCAAUGGGCGAAAGCCUGACGAUGCGACGCCGUGUGAGCGAUGAAGGCCUUCGGGUUGUAAAGCUCUUUCGCUUGGGAACAAGAAAGAUAGAUGAAUAAUCUAUCGAUUUGAGGGUACCAGGUAAAGAAGCACCGGCUAACUCCGUGCCAGCAGCUGCGGUAAUACGGAGGGUGCAAGCAUUAAUCGGAAUUAUUGGGCGUAAAGGGCGCGUAGGUGAUCUUAUAAGUCGGAUGUGAAAUCUCAAAGCUUAACUUUGAGGCUGCGUCCGAAACUGUAAGGAUUGAGGGUAGGCGGAGAAAACGGAAUUCCACGUGUAGCGGUGAAAUGCGUAGAUAUGUGGAGGAACACCUGUGGCGAAAGCGGUUUUCUAGCUUAUUCCUGACGCUGAGGCGCGAUAGCAAGGGGAGCAAACAGGAUUAGAUACCCUGGUAGUCCUUGCCGUAAACGAUGCAUACUUGAUGUAGUUGGUCUCAACCCCAACUUUGUCGAAGCUAACGCGAUAAGUAUGCCGCCUGGAGAGUACGCUCGCAAGAGUGAAACCCAAAAGAAUUGACGGGGGCCCGCACAAGCAGUGGAACAUGUGGUUUAAUUCGAUGCAACGCGAAGAACCUUACCCAGGCUUGACAUGUAGUGGACCGUCACAGAGAUGUGACUUUCCUUCGGGACUGCUACACAGGUGCUGCAUGGCUGUCGUCAGCUCGUGCCGUGAGGUGUUGGGUUAAGUCCCGCAACGAGCGCAACCCUUAUCAUUAGUUGCCAGCACGUUAUGGUGGGGACUCUAAUGAGACUGCCUAGGUUAACUAGGAGGAAGGUGAGGAUGACGUCAAGUCCGCAUGGCCCUUAUGUCUGGGGCUACACACGUGUUACAAUGGCCGGUACAGAAAGAAGCAAAUCCGCAAGGUGGAGCAAAUCUCAAAAGCCGGUCCCAGUUCGGAUUGUAGUCUGCAAUUUGACUACAUGAAGUUGGAAUUGCUAGUAAUGGCGUGUCAGCAAUAACGCCGUGAAUACGUUCUCGGGCCUUGUACACACCGCCCGUCACAUCAUGGAAGUUGGUUUUGCCCGAAGUCGCUGACCUAACCGCAAGGGAGGAGGCGCCGAAGGUGAGGCUGAUGACUCGGAUGAAGUCGUAACAAGGUAGCCCUACCGGAAGGUGGGGCUGGAUCACCU